CCUGACGUGGGUGCUAGUCUCAUAGGUUAAGCCCUGCAUGGCAAGCGAAGCGUAAGUGGGGCGGCGCAAGGCUCAGUAACGGGCGAGUAUUUUAUCUUCCUAGAGUGGGUAUCCUCUGCUAACCGGGGGGCAAAACACAAGAUGAGCGAUUUACGAGGUCGUUCGUCUAACGAAUAGUGUAGGGGAGUAAGAAGCCCUCCCCUCAGUUAGUAAGUAGGGUAAGGGCCUACUUAGACGAAGACGGUACGGGGGAUUAUCGUUUGAUUCCGGGGAGGGGGCCUGAGAGACGGCUACCCGGCCCAGGGCAGCAGCAGGCGCGAAAAUUACCGCAGCCUGCGUUCAGGGCGGUAGUAAGGGGACGUGAAAACAAUGUGCGGGCAAAAAACGACUAGAUACAGGGGGGCAAGACUGGUGCCCGCACCCGCGGUAAUACCCGCUCCUGGGGUGUCUAUGAUGAUUUCUGCAGUUAAAGAGUUCGUAGUCGAAGUGGUUAUAACGGUGUAACAGGCCUUCUCUCAAGGGGGGUUAUGCGCCGUGAUUCCCUGGGAUAAGGGGCGUUUAGGGGCCCGGUUAUUAAGCGACGAGGGGUGAAAUCUGGUGACUCGCUUAGGAGCAACAGAGGCGAAAGCGCUGGCCCGGGGCGAAUCCGAGAUAAAGGGCGUAGGCUAGAGGGUCGAAGACGAUUAGAGACCGUUUUAGUUCUAGCAGUAAACGAUGCCGAUACCGUGGUGCGGGUACCGACGGGGAGAGAAAUCGAGUAGGGCCCUGGGGGGAGUACACGCGCAAGAGGGAAUUUAAAGGGAAUUUACGGGAGAACACCACAAGGGGUGGGGUGUGCGGCUUAAUUUUACUCAACGCGGGGCAGCUUACCCGGCCCGACGGCCGGGCGAGUGUUUUACACGAUAGGUCGAAGAGUGGUGCAUGGCCGUUAACGACGAGUGAGGUGACUUUUUGGUUAAAUCCGGGGGGUAGUGAGACCCCUACCGAAAGGGGCAGGUGCCGAAAGCACAGGGAGGGAGGGUCAAGAACAGGUCAGUGAUGCCCUCAGAUGGUCUGGGCUGCACGCGCACUACAGUGGUCAUAGAAAUGAAACGAUAGAAUUAAAGAUGAUCGAGAGGGGAUGAGCUUUUUAAGAGGCUCAGGGACGAGGGAUUUCUAGUAAUCGCGGGCUCAUUAAGACGCGAUGAAUACGUCCCUGUUCUUUUUAGUACGCACCGCCCGUCGUUAUCGAAGAUGGGGUCAGGCGCGGGACAAGCGAGAGCGAGUGAGUGCAGGGUUCUAGAUGUGAUACAAGUUCGUAACAAGGUAGCUGUAGGGGAACCUGUGACUGGUACAGAACGAUGUUUAAUAAGAAAGAGAUAAUAACCCUGUACGCAAGGGUACAUCUCUAGGCUCGCAUGACGAGAAGGGCGCAGUUUUAGGCGAAAUGUGUCAGGGCAGCAGCAAUGACGACACGUGCCUGAACAAGCGAAAGCUCGGGUACCCCCUUUAAUUAAGCAUAUGAGUAAAGGGGGGGAAAGAAACUAACAAGGGUUCCUGCAGUAGCGGCGAGCGAAGAAGGGCCCGCCCCGUGUGUAAUCGUUCUUUCGAGAACGAGAUGUCAUGGGCGCGAUGUAACGAUCUGGGAAGAUCGGCCUGAGAGGGUGAUAGCCCCGUACAGCGUGAAUGGGUGAGUAGUAGUGUUUUGUAUUACACUAUGAACAGGUGGCAGCGCCCCUCUAAGGCUAAAUACUAUGCGAGACCGAUAGCGAAUAAAAUAAGUAGAGUGAUCGAAGGGUGAAUAGGCUGAAAAAGUGAAA
rnacentral:rRNA from 1 species